rnacentral:rRNA from 1 species
AGAACGAACGCUGGCGGCAGGCUUAACACAUGCAAGUCGAGCGCCCAGCAAUGGGAGCGGCGGACGGGUGAGUAACACGUGGGAACAUGCCUUUCGGUACGGAACAACUUCGGGAAACUGAAGCUAAUGCCGUAUGCGCCCUUACGGGGAAAGAUUUAUCGCCGAAAGAUUGGCCCGCGUCUGAUUAGCUAGUUGGUGAGGUAACGGCUCACCAAGGCUUCGAUCAGUAGCUGGUUUGAGAGAACGACCAGCCACACUGGGACUGAGACACGGCCCAGACUCCUACGGGAGGCAGCAGUGGGGAAUCUUGGACAAUGGAGGAAACUCUGAUCCAGCCAUGCCGCGUGAGUGAUGAAGGCCUUCGGGUUGUAAACUCUUUUACCAGGGAAGAUAAUGACUGUACCUGGAGAAUAAGCCCGGCUAACUUCGUGCCAGCAGCCGC